CCUCUAUUUCUUGGCACACAGGAUGUUGGCUGUAUCCUUGUGUGAUAUGUACGGAGGUAGAUUAUACCCGGUGCUAUGUCUUCGGUGCCAGCUGUGACCUGGGCUGGUUCUAUCCUCAAUCGCUGGGACAAGA